rnacentral:miRNA from 1 species
UGGGUCUUUGCGGGCGAGGUGA